AGAGUUUGAUCCUGGCUCAGGACGAACGCUGGCGGCGCGCCUAAUACAUGCAAGUCGAACGGGCAUCCCUUCGGGGGUGUCAGUGGCGGACGGGUGAGUAACACGUGGGUGACCUGCCCUCUAGUGGGGAAUAACUCUGGGAAACCAGGGCUAAUACCGCAUAUGCUUAAUGCUUCAGUGCAUUAAGUAAAGAGUAUCGCUGGAGGAGGGGCCUGCGCCAGAUUAGCUAGUCGGUGGGGUAAUGGCUUACCGAGGCUACGAUCUGUAGCUGGUCUGAGAGGACGACCAGCCACACUGGGACUGAGACACGGCCCAGACUCCUACGGGAGGCAGCAGUAAGGAAUAUUCCACAAUGGGCGCAAGCCUGAUGGAGCGACGCCGCGUGAGCGAAGAAGCCCUUCGGGGUGUAAAGCUCUUUUCAGUGGGAUGACAAGGACAGUACCACUGGAAUAAGCCUCGGCUAACUACGUGCCAGCAGCCGCGGUAAUACGUAGGAGGCAAGCGUUGUCCGGAAUCACUGGGCGUAAAGAGCGUGUAGGCGGCAUGGUAAGUCUGCUGUGAAAGCGCCCGGCUUAACCGGGUGAGGUCGGUGGAAACUGCCAGGCUGGAGGACGGUAGAGGGGGGUGGAAUUCCCGGUGUAGUGGUGAAAUGCGUACAGAUCGGGAGGAACACCAGCGGCGAAGGCGGCCCCCUGGGCCGGUCCUGACGCUGAGACGCGAAGGCCAGGGGAGCGAACGGGAUUAGAUACCA
rnacentral:rRNA from 1 species